rnacentral:lncRNA from 1 species
GCGCCGUUGCUGGGGAACGGUAGCUGUGCUAGUUUCGAACCAAGUCGUCCGUGUAUCCUUUUUCUUUUUCUUUUUUACCACACUCACCUUAUCAUUUUCACCAUACCACAUGGAUUUCACUCUAAGCAUUAGUGAGCAUGGAAUUUAUUUCAUAGCCACUUCAUUUACUCCAUGCUCAUAUGCAACAUCUUCACAAUCCAUUGGUCUCUCCAACAUCACCACAUUCGAGAUCUCCAACCCCCUCUUCCUUUCUAUUCAUAAAAACUUUAAAAGGGCGGUUGUCGAUGCAUAUGUAUAUAAUAAAUUUUGCAGAUCUCGUUGAGUUCAU